rnacentral:rRNA from 1 species
GGAAUUUUGCGCAAUGGGCGAAAGCCUGACGCAGCAACGCCGCGUGAGUGAUGAAGCCCCUCGGGGUGUAAAACUCUGUCAGUAGGGACAAAUUUUGAUGGUACCUACAGAGGAAGCAUCGGCUAACUACGUGCCAGCAGCCGCGGUAAGACGUAGGAUGCAAGCGUUGUCCGGAAUUAUUGGGCGUAAAGAGUUCGUAGGUGGCAUGUUAAGUCUAGUGUUAAAGCCCGAGGCUCAACUUCGGUUCGGCACUGGAUACUGGCAAGCUAGAGUGCGGUAGAGGCAAGGGGAAUUCCUGGUGUAGCGGUGAAAUGCGUAGAUAUCAGGAGGAACACCGGUGGCGUAAGCGCCUUGCUGGGCCGUAACUGACACUGAGGAACGAAAGCCAGGGUAGCAAAUG